rnacentral:lncRNA from 1 species
CUCACACUCGCACAAGAGAUCAUUCUGCAUACUGCUCAGCAACAUGAUGCGAGCAAUGCGAUCCUUCUUAAGCCAAUUAUUAUAGGCUUCCAUAUCUCGGCGAGCCUGGGCACUAGUGCCCUCCGUGGGUUGGUCCAUUUUAUUGCUCAGGUUUUCCAGGAUUUCUUGCUCAGCGAGAACAUAUUGAAUUUUACGGUGCCAAAUAUCAUAAUUGUCACCAUCCAAUUUCUCGCCCUUAUUUAAAUCAGCAACUAUUUGUUUGGAAGCCAUUCAAUC